rnacentral:rRNA from 1 species
UACGGGGGGGGCAAGCGUUGUUCGGAAUUACUGGGCGUAAAGGGCUCGUAGGCGGCCAACUAAGUCCGACGUGAAAUCCCCAGGCUUAACCUGGGAACUGCGUCGGAUACUGGAUGGCUUGAAUUCGGGAGAGGGAUGCAGAAUUCCAGGUGUAGCGGUGAAAUGCGUAGAUAUCAGGAAGAACACCAAUGGCGAAGGCAGCUCUCUGGGACGGUACUGACGCUGAGACGCGAAAGCGUGGGGAGCGAACAGG